ACGCACGCUGGCGGCGUGCUUAACACCUGCAAGUCGAACGGUGAAGGGGUCUGCUUUUGUGGGCCCUGGAUGAGUGGCGAACGGGUGAGUAACACGUGAGUAACCUGCCCCCUUCUUCUGGAUAACCGCAUGAAAGUGUGGCUAAUACGGGAUAUUCUGGGUCUGUCGCAUGAUGGGUCUGGGAAAGAUUGCGCCUUUGGGUGUUUUUGGUGGGGGAUGGGCUCGCGGCCUAUCAGCUUGUUGGUGGGGUGAUGGCCUACCAAGGCGGUGACGGGUAGCCGGCCUGAGAGGGUGGACGGUCACACUGGGACUGAGACACGGCCCAGACUCCUACGGGAGGCAGCAGUGGGGAAUAUUGCACAAUGGGCGCAAGCCUGAUGCAGCGACGCCGCGUGAGGGAUGGAGGCCUUCGGGUUGUAAACCUCUUUCGCCAGUGAAGCAGGCCUGCUCCUUGUGGGUGGGUUGACGGUAGCUGGAUAAGAAGCGCCGGCUAACUACGUG
rnacentral:rRNA from 1 species